UUGAGUGGAUGCAGCCGCUCAUUCCUCAUGCUUUUUUUGGGUGACAGCCUCAGCUAUGGCAAGCUCAACAGGACUCUGCCAAUGGAGCUGCGUCAAUCUGGAAGUACUCCCUUGGAAACAAAGCUCAGCUGCAGCUGCCAGUUUGAAUCCAGCCCAGGUCUGCAGUGAAGGAUGCUGCUGGGUGCCUGUCCAGCGGUGUGUGCAAACCACGGCGUCUGGCUGCAGUCCCACUUCCUAUGGGGCAGGUGGCUGCAUCCCCUCCAUGGGCUUGGCACGCUCCCUGUGCCCUGUUCCAGAUGAGCAGCCAGCAACCAGCUUUUCCAGAAUAAAAGUCAUGUUCUUCGGAGUGUAAACCCCAGGAUAA